UUUUGAGUGUAUUGUAUAAAACAGCCACUCCAGCUCAAAACAGGGCUUAAGGCAAACGAUGUUUGGUAACAGGAAUCAAGCCAACUUGUGUCUCCUUAAAGGGAGGGAUCCGGAGGAGGUUUGGCUCAUGUAACCCCUUCACCUCUGAAUUAUUCCUUGACACAUACACACGAUAUCACAUCUGUAACUACAAGGGGCUGAGGGGUUAAGUAUCUUGUCACUCCAGCAUACACACCUCGCUUGCAAAUCCCAGACUUUCUACCAAACAUCCCCAGCAGGGGAAGGGGAUCCCUGCUGGCAAGCUGAAGUGAAAGCUGAGGGCUCUCUCAGCACCCCAGAAUAGUCUCUGAAUGCCAGCUGGUGUUGUCUAUGGGGAAAGAGGAGCAGGAAAGCACUGAGUAGAGGGUCCAAGGAGCUGGAACCUACUCUACAGCUUCUGUCACACAUGCAGAAGUGAUGAGUAAUGGCUGAAUUGCAGAGUUGUGUGAUAAAUGUUCAGUACUGUGCACAUUUGACCACCUCACCUGCACACUCUGCGUGUCCAUUUGACAACAUCAAGGCAGCAAGUGCACUGACAGCAUGGCCUUACUCUGCAGACCAAUGCUGUCACAUCAUUUUCAUCAGGAUCUCAGUGCUGGGAACACCCUUCCCACCCUUUUCUGCUCUUUUUGUUGUUGACCUCCUGGCUGGGAUGUGCAAUCUGUGGCAGAUUUGCUGAGUUGAAUGCAGUUAGGCUUCGGUCUACACGUUUUCCAUGCUCUUCUAUGUGGACUUGGUGAUCCUUGAGGAUCCCUUCCAACUCGGGAUAUUCUAUGAUCUCUGCUUUCUCAUAGCCAGCUUACUCAUUGUCUUCACCCAAGAACACCUUUAAUUUUUCUUAUUAACCUAAACAAAAUUGCACCCAGAUCAAUAGGAAGUUGCUCAUUAGCACUGACUACUUGGGACCAGCCCCUAAAAUGAAGGCUUCCCACUGCUGUCUUGCUGUACUAACAUUAACUACUUCAUUUCCACAAAGCUUGCAGGCAGAUGAGCUGAGAGGCAGGGGAGACCCUCAGGCCAUGCCCAGGAGCAUUGUAAUGAGGAGAAGGAGAACUUCUGUUUGCAGAUCUGUUACGCCUCCCCCCAACCCCUUUUCCUUCUGCCCCAGACACAGCCUUGGCUGCUUUGCAGUUGUUCAUAAACACCAUCUACAUCUGUCCUGAGCCACAAGAUGUAUUAAUCAAUUUGAUGAGGAUGUUAAAGCUUUCUCUUUACACCUAAUUAUGAACUGAUUUAUAGUACUGGCCUUGUGUUUGAUGGAGCUCUCCCCUUGGCAGUGAUUUACACGGCAUUGGCACCAACCUCUCCAUCUCUCCAAUACUCCAUCAUAUUCUCUGCCCCUCUUUCUCUGUCUCUCUCCCUUCUCCAUAUCCCCCCUCCUCCCCACACCUCUCUGCUCUAUGUUCCCUCAUGAGAGCCUAAUGACAUGUUGACAGACUGGUGAAACAUUGCUCCCUCUUCACUGCAUCUGUCUCUGGCUCAGUGGAUCCCCAGUGCUCUCUGACACGUCCAGAUGGAAGGCCUGGCAGGAGAGACAGAGGCUCUGGCCAUUGCCCCAGUGCAAGCUCUGCAGCUCCACAGAUUUCCUUCUGGAAGCAGUUGUUGCAGAGCUCUGGAUUCCCUUGAGGACAGGGAUCCACACUGACAGGGAUCUGUGGAUCUCUCCUACUGGUUCUCCUGGCUCCACUGAAAACUUCUGAUGAAGUCAUGAAAUAUCUGUGAUUCAGCCUUCUACCUGAUGACCCCCAGACUUCCACGCUGAGGGACAAGUUUUGUUUCCUUCCAGUACUAAUGAGGAAACUGAAUGAUGCACUGAGGGGUUACAUUUUGGAAAGGUGGAACUGAUAUUUUUGUCCUGCACUAGAUACUAACUAAAGGUUCCACUCUUGAAGCUAAUUGUGAAAGUGGAAGUCCCUUCCAUUCCCCUUUCCUUUCCCUUUCCCCUUCCCAUUUCCUCACUCAUGGCUACUGGUACCAAUGCAACUCCAGCCUCAUCCCCCACCUUCUUUAGUGCCUGCAAAUUGCAAAAUUCACUUUUCCAGGGGAAAUGUUGUCACCUUCUAUAUGUCAGCAAAGACGGAAGGCUGAGGAUAGAGGCAGUUCCUAAAGCUUUUUGUUUGUUUGCUAACUCUGAAUUUCCUAAAUUUACCUGCUUUCAUUUGGGAGAUCUAACUUGCCAGGAAAUGACACCAGGAUGCCUAUCUGAGCUAAAGAGAUGUGUGUAAAGUCUCCAGAAAAUGGAGAGAUGCUAGAUGACAAAGCCUGUAUCCACCCUCUGCUUUACAUCUGCACUCACCCCUCCCUGACUUGCACAUUCCCUUUCCCUUCAUGUAGCUGGCACCUUUGCACAGCAGGUGGUUUCUCCUCCAGCUGCCAGAUGUGCUGAGGAAAUGAGACGUUUUGUGUGUGCAAAAUCAGCUGCACGUUCACAGUGCACAGAUGUGUUCAGUAGUGUGUGCUGAAAUUAGCACAACUGUAUAGAAGGUGAAAACUGCCCUCAUGUUAUUGCAUUACUAAUCAUGUAAUGGCAAUAAAACUUCCAGUCCCUUCUUGUGGGAGAAGUUUCUUGUGGGAAGUUGUAGGCACAGCGCUUUUUUGCUUUGCUAAGACAAAAGUGGAGCCCAUUUAUGCUUUCCAGGAUUGAGUCGUCAAAAUUCUACUCACAUCCAGACUGACAACUUUGGAGCUACACCAAAGAUAAACUUCUCUGCUUGUAAUACCAAAGCAAUCAAGAGUCCAAAUACAGGUAGUAGGAUGUAACCAUACGUAUGCUAUAUACACUGCUGUUCAUGAAUCCACAUCUGCCUUGUGGAGACCAAAGCUUGAGAAGAUGCUCUUUGCACGCAGGUGUGCAUAUGUGCAAAACUAUGCGGAUACUUCAGCCUCCAGAUUGUGCACGUGUUCCACUGAACUCCACAAAAUGCAUAUUAAUGCUGCUGAAGCUGGAGCCCUGUCCAGAGAAGCAGAUGCUUAUCGAUGGCGAAGCUGGCCGUGCUAAACAGAUGAAAAGACAUCUCUGCUGCUGAGUGAAUUCCAUCAGACCAGGAGCAGCUGCUCGAAAGCUUCUGAAAGCAAAAAUCCUCAUGAAUAAAUAUUAGGAGGGAAAAAAUGAGGCUUCUGGAGAACAAAAGGAAGCAGAGGAAGUUACUGAGAGAUGCUGAGACCUUUCAUCUCGGCAAAAUAUGCAAUUAACAGAACACACACAUCUCCCCCAGAAAGGCCUUGCAUUUGUUCAGGGUAACUAUAGGAUCAGAGAUAAGGUUUCUUUUGGUGAACAAGCAGGACCAUAAUCUGCUAUUCCUCUGUCUGUCAACACAGGAGUGUGUGGCAUUCGUGAUUUCACAAAGUUACUGAGUCAGCCUCCUGGAAAUGCUCAGCAAUCAUUUGAUCUAAAGGGAGGCUGCUGCGAUUUCAGGUUCAGAAAUGUUUGGCAUUCCCUUGAAAGAAGUGCUCGUAUUUGAGGAUGGCCAUACCUUGGAGGAACAUUGCAUUCCUCUGUGCAUACAUCGGCUCAAAGUACUGUAGCAAAACUGGAGGAUCUGAUCUCCAGUAGCCCAGUGCUCCAGGUUACACCUGUGUGAUACAGAUGUCAAAUGCUGCCUGAUCAGCAUCCUGAACAAAGGGCAGUGACACUGCAAGGUGCAAUGCAAUGGAGGACCUGCAGCCUCAGCAUCUUUACGAGGUAUCUGACGAUCAGGUGAGGCAGAAGUGGCUUCAUCUCUUUGGGGAAACAAAGGGUGGGCUUAAAAGCAGAUGUGACUCACACGCUUUCUGUCCACACAGCCAUCUGUUAGGCCAGCUUUCACUCAGAUUCCGAGAUCUGCAGAGUAUUUAGAAAGAGCUGACCUUAGACUAUCUGCUAAUGGAUUGAGCUGUGGGACAGUUGGCCUCAUCUGUAUCCGAUUCCUUUGCAUUGCAUGAAGAAGAGAGUGGAUUCAUGCUAAGCUGAGGCUUUCCCCUUCCCAUGAGCUUUAGAGCUCAGGUUUAGGCAGCCUCCCAGCACGACCCUGAGGAUUUAAGCCACAUCUAGCAGGCACAAAGCUGUGCUGAGCUUGCAGUGAAACACAGAAUCUACUUUGUACCUAAAAGCUCAGAUCGUUUCAUCCAAUUACUUUCAAAUCCGUUGCUCACUUAUUAAUUCUUACGUUCACACCAGCCAAAUUCUUCAUUUCCACCAGCUCUGCCUGUUACUGUCAAUAGCCAAGAAAUAGCCCACCAAGGCCCCAUGGGAAGGCUGAAAUACCAAGGUGUCAAGGCUGAAUUUGCUCCCAUUUGUUUCAGGACACAGAACAAGAUGCCUUGAAGAACAUGUAAAUCCCACUAGCAGGCAGAUGUUCCUCUUGCAACCCCAUCUUCACACCCUGCAUGUACACACAGUCACCGGAGUCUCUUGGCUCCAAACCUGCAGAAAGUGCUUUCAAACGUCUUUCUUUUCCUGUCCCCCUCCCUAUAGCUCAUAUUGCUACCAGGAGGUGACGUGUCACUGCCUUGCUGCUUGUUACAACAGCUGUGAGGAGUAGCCAGCUUCCUCCUUCAUCAUUUGAUCCAUUUGAAACACUUCUUGGUGGCAACCUGGAAAUCUGUUUCUCUGCCUUGCACUGUUUUCACCCCUCGGAGCUAUCAAUUUAUUACAGGGAAGAGGGGAAAAAAAAAAAAAAAGAAAAAAAAGAAAAAAAAAGAAAGAUAACUACAGAUGGCUCACAGCUGGAGGAAAAAACAGACACAAAUUUCUGCUGGCUGCACUUUCAAUUGAGCCCAGGAUAAUUCCCUCCUUCUGUUUCUUCUGGGUGAAGAGAUGCAGUACCUUCUUUUCCUGUAUGCAGCAAUAGCCAGGCUGUCCUGUCACAAAACCAGUAACAGACUGAAGCAAUCAAAAACUCCAGGAUGACUUUGCAAAACAUAGCUAUUUUUGCCUUUUAUCCUUCUUUUUUUUUUUUUUAAUUUUUCUUCCUUUUUCUUUCUUUCUUUUUUCUUUCUCUUUUUUUUUUCCCUCUCUUCUUUUUUCCUUUCUCUCUUUUUUUUUUCUUUCUCUCUCUUCUUCCCCUUCCCAUUUUUGCACCCACAAGGAGCAGGUGCAAUUCAGUACCAACAGAUCUCCAUGUAUUCUGAAGCAAAUUGUGCAAUACAUCCCUCUCAAAAGAGUGACAGCUGAAUUCGUCCCAUCUCUCUGAAAUACCUUCCAUUCCCCAUUUGUGCCUGUCUCUUUUCUCCCCUCCCCUUUAUUUUCCCAUUAGAUAUGCAUUUGUGGCUUCUGGUCAAAAACAAUCUGAUAUAGAAUGCCAUCUUUAAAAAAGAAACAACUAACAGGUCCCAAAACACUGAUAUCUUCCACUAGACAAGGAUCCAGGUUUCGUGCAUGUGGAAUCCCUAACAUUAUCUGCUAUAUUCUCUUGGUGAGUCUGGUGCAUCUGGACUCACUCACUUAUCUGCUAGAUAUGAGGAGUCAUCUGAUUUACAAAACCUGGAGGAGGCACAAAGAAGAGCUAUAAAUUGAUCAAAGGUAUGGAGGGUCUUAGUAAUGCUGAUAGACCAAAGUGUUUAAUCUCAUGCAGUUUGGAGAAACUGAGAUUACGAGGUUGGACGUUGGCGAAGAAGAGGCUGUUCUUCCUCUCCCCAAAAGCAGAGCUGAGAGACAAGGGUAAGAAUGUGUUCAAACAGAGCAGGAACAGAGAAAUAUGCAGCUGCUUUGAGAGGUUAAAGUGAUACUGACAAAUAUUUUUACUCAGAAUGUAGGUUUGCUCAUGUAUUGUUUUCUGCCCCUGAAGAAGAUGGGAGAUAACUUCAGUUAUCCAGUGUGUGUCAGAGGGAAUCCCUCAUCUAUUUGCAUUAUACAGACAGUAGUAAUACUAUCACCAUGACAAGAAAUGUGAGGAAACCUUUCUUUUGGCACUUGUUCUUGGGGCUGGGUGUUUCUGCAUCCUCAUGGCUCCAGCUAAGCCCCUGAAACAGUUUCUUCUUAUCCAGAAACAAUAUAUAUUUCAUAUGACCUCUUCCACUCUUGGCCUUCCUGGUCCAGAAAUCUCCAGAGUUGGCUUUUGACCAUCAGGGACCAUUCCUGAUGGGUGGAUUGAGGACAUUCACUGGUUGGGAAUAAGAACUAGCCUGGUUUUAAUUUGAAUUAGACUGCUCUUGAUGAGAAGAGCUCAUGACCAGCUUUGGAUGCCUUCCCAUUUUCUCUCUUCUGGACCCUUUUUCUGGUAAUGCCAAACCCUUCUGGUUACACAUAGUUUCCAGUCUCUGUCUUCUUGUGUUGGUUCUCUAACCAUGGUCAACUGCAUUCAGCUGGCAUUGGGUUAGGGUUAGGGUUAGUAAGGUUAGGGUUAGGGUAGGGUUCAUGUUCUCUGUCAGCUCAGCAAUCCAAAUCAAAAGGACUCGAUGAAGCCAUUUGCUCCUUUUCCUUUUCUUACAUAAGAUGGUCCCUUACAAAGAGUUUGAAUGUUGUCCUUUUAAAUGCUUUUAAUAUUCCUCACAUUCACAUUUUAGCAGCAAGCUGUGCUGGUGGUGAAGCCUAAUGGAUAGGGCACUGGGCUGGAACUCAGCAGAUUUGGAUAUGUUUCCCAGCAGGGUUGCUGUGAUUCCUGCGCAGCUCACGAGAUUCUUUGUGCCAAGGACUCAGCAUUCCCUUUCUCCAGGGUGAGGCAAGAGAGAAUUCCUGCCGAGAGAUUGUUGACAGCCAUGCAGUCUCAAUGGGCAGAGGCGAAAAGUAUUUGAACCAUCCACACUUGGAAAGGCUCUGGACUGUUCUCCAACCUCUUGCCAAGCCUGCAAUCGUGUUUUGUCUGUAUAAAAGUGUGUGAGGCCAUUGGAUUCUCAGAAAAAUACUGACAAAAUCUGUGGUGGUUGAAUUUUAGGAUCCCAGAUUAUAGGUCUGUGCAGUCCAAAGAAGUGGAGCUGUUUUUCAUCUUGGAACUGAAUUUGAGACUACGAACUAAACAUUAUUCUUACAGCAGAGGAUGACAACAUAGCCAGUCUAAUCCUGCUUUACAUGGGCAUCCAAGCAUGGAACUGAAACAUGGAUUCUGUCCCAGUGGGUGACACAUACUCAGACAAUCAGAGGGACACAACAGCCUGGGCACUAGUCGUAGCUAUUAGAGCAGGAAAGAGGGAGUUUUGCGUACAAUAAUCACAGAAGACAGCCUGAAUGGAGUCCUGCCUUAAAAACCUGCUUCCAAUGGUCCCUUCCCAUCACCAUCACAGUGAUGGCACAUGUGCAGGUGGCAGUAAAUACCAAAAAUCAUACAGAAGUCAACAUUUGGCAGCUGCCUGGUGAAACCAAGGUCUUCAGGAUGGCCUGGAGAGUUAGGGUAAGAGACCACCUAUGUGUGUGUGCUACACAAUCAGGUAAUGGGACUGUUGGCUGCAUCACUAGCAGUGUAAUCCUGUUCCAUCAUCUCCAAAUACUGCAGGGGGAACACCAAAGGAGUAUGGGAAGGAUCCCAGUUUAAUCCAUUGAUGAAAGUAAGGAGGAAUAACGAGCAAUCUGCCUGUGGCAGUCCCUGCUUAAUUAGACUGCAGAUUUCUAUCUAGAUGGGUGGUAAACCUGCUAUGGCUGAGGGACAUAUUCACCCUGUUUAAAGUGCUUUCCUGGGCUUGGCUCUGAAUAGAGGAGCCAGGAACUCUGGCUUCAGACCAGUGUAAAUGCAAUAGAGACAAAAGGAAGAAACAAAACGUGUAGGAAAUCACGUAAAGCAGAGAUAAAGGACUAACACGUAGGUUUUAGGCAGAUCUUUGGAAGUUAUAAAACUACGUGAAUCUUAGGCGUGUGCCACAAUAUUGCUGAGAAAGCUGCACUUCAAUUAGCUCGAUCCUGAGCCCGUGAAAGCUGGCCCAGCUCCACCAGCCUCAAAGAAAAAUGGGGAAAAGUUUCUUUUCACGUAAGAAGUGGAAAGAUUGAAGUGUUUAACAAAGGGGCCUAGAAAGCUCCAAGCACUGGACAGUCUCCACCUGGUUGCAUUAAACCACUCGCUACAUUUUUCAAAAUCCACCCGUGCUUUAAUCUCUGCUCCAUUUCACAUUUCCUUGUGAUGUCGUCCAAAUAAAUGCACUCAUUGGCAAUAAGCUGAACAGUCACCACAAAGCCUAACAGGACCUUGAUGUGGCUUUUAAAAAACCCCAAACCCUUAACUGCUGAGGCUCACGGAUUUUUUCCCCCCAGCAGAUGUUACGGGGGGACCAAAGCUCUGCAAACGUUUGCAGACAUGGAUAAUGUUCAUCCUGAUGGUCUGAUUCUCAUUUACAUGAACUCUUCUACAAUGUGUGUGAAAGCAAUUCAUGUAAAGGGACUCGAGCAGAAAUGAAAAUCAGACUGCUUGUCUCCCCAGCCAGAUGAGGAUUGUAAAUAUAGUUAACUUGGCUUUCCUGACUGUAGUCCAAACCUCCUGAUCUUAACUUAUCUCAGUUAGUCUGUUACAAAUGUCAAAUUCUCUCUGGUUAUCCUGAUAGCUAAUAUGUACUGUAACAGCAUCUAGAAGCUGUUCUCCUGAGUCAGGACCUUAUAUUCAAGCACAGAAUAGCAAAAAGAUGUUUAGUUCAGACUGGUUCCUAUUUUGCAAGGUAAUACAACCUCGUCAGCCAAAGAUUGCGUUUGGAGAUUUCUUCCUCCCCUUUGAUCUACACUGAAACAGCAGCAAUGACAGCAGCAGCUUCAAGCUCUGAGCCUCAGGAAGCAGGACAACAUGGUGUAGUAUAGGAUACAUGAUAUUUUCAACCCUAUCUCAUCUUUCCUUGUGUGGAGGCAGCAACUCAAGCUCAGGAUGACAGUCUGUGUGCAGACAAGGGAAGAAGUCCUGUCCUGGCUGAACAUCUAAUUCUAUAUUCUUUCAAUGAAAAUAACAAUGAGCUGAUGGGAAGUAUUUCACUGUCUGGAUCACGUUGGUCACCAUUUGGUUGACUGGUCAAGAUGUAAGAUCAGAGUUUGGAAUAAAGCCAAGCUGAGAACAUC